GUAUUUUGAAAAACCAUUGAACCGGCCGGUAUUUAGUGAACCGGCCGAUUUUUGAAAAAAGUAAAAAAAAAACACAAAUAUUUAGUGGACUAUUGGUUUUUAAUUUUUAUUUUUUGGGUUUUUUGGUUUUGAUUUUGGUAUUUUAUUUAGCUAGUAAUUUUUAAAUUUUAUUUUUAAUAAAAAUAAAAAAUUGAGUGCAAUUAAAAAAAAUAAAAAUAUAAAAAUCACUAUCUUUAAAUAUUUAUUAUAUUAUAAUUAUAUAUAUC
rnacentral:lncRNA from 1 species